CGAUCCCGGCCCGCCGGGACCCCUCGCUGCAAGGGACGAGGCAACAUCCCCGGAGCAGGCGGCAGCUGGGAAUCCCGCAGCACGGGGUGGUUUAGGGAGAGCCGCACUAGAAUCACAGCUUCACCUGCCCAUGUGGCACCCACAUGUGCUGUCCUGAACAUCUCUGUGUGAGUGGCCUGGGAUCACUGCCACUCUGGUAUCUUCUUCUUCUGCCUUUGUUAGAGCUCUUCAUUCCAAAUGCAGCUUCUGCACACUCCCCGAGCGUAUUCAGCUUUUUCGAGUGAUUGCAUGUCAAGAACAUCACAAGUGUCUGCCUGCUGUCUAAUUGUGCUGACUAUCCCAUUUUCAUACGAUUGAAAGGACCUGAAAAUGAGUGAAAUUGCAGGUUCUCCACAGGCACUUCAGUCUGCUCCAUGCUAAAUGUGAGUAUUAACAGCUACAACAGAGCAAGGAAAGACUACAGUGUAGCCUGUAUUCUUCCAUUUCAAGGCUCCCAGUGCAACCAGGAAGGAAUUGCUUCCUUGUCUCACCAGGAGAGUCCCGAUGUAUCUUGCUUGCUGCUGCUGCGUGGGGAUUUAAAGGCGUCUGUGUUGGAUCAUUCCUUGGUGCAGCCGUUUGCACAGGGCUGAGUGAAUGGAGCAGUGAGCUAAUGAAUGAACAUUCCUACUUAAAACAGACAUAUAUAUCCUUCAAGCUGGAUUCCUUCAUCUCGGUGGCACACCUCAGCCCAUUGGUUCAGUCCAAAGUAAAUCCAUAACAUGUCAUAACUGGACAGACCUCUGAUGAGAUUCUUUUCAACAAGUUAGCAUACUGUUAAGCCAUUAUUUUCAAGGUCUCUAACACAGAAGUCCCUUGUUGAACAACUUUGCUUUAUUUGGCCAACUGUGUGAAGGCACGUUUGAGUGGUAUUUUAAAUUCCCAAUUCAUGAAUAAUAUUCCAACACAAAUGGAAAUCUUUGUAAGCAUUGAACUACUGCUGUGCAUUCUAAUAACAUAUGGAAGAUAAUAU